rnacentral:rRNA from 1 species
UCCGGGCGCCCAACCUCCCACCCGUGACUACCUAACACUGUUGCUUCGGCGGGGAGCCCUCUCGGGGGCGAGCCGCCGGGGACUACUGAACUUCAUGCCUGAGAGUGAUGCAGUCUGAGUCUGAAUAUAAAAUCAGUCAAAACUUUCAACAAUGGAUCUCUUGGUUCCGGCAUCGAUGAAGAACGCAGCGAACUGCGAUAAGUAAUGUGAAUUGCAGAAUUCAGUGAAUCAUCGAGUCUUUGAACGCACAUUGCGCCCCCUGGCAUUCCGGGGGGCAUGCCUGUCCGAGCGUCAUUGCUGCCCAUCAAGCCCGGCUUGUGUGUUGGGUCGUCGUCCCCCCCGGGGGACGGGCCCGAAAGGCAGCGGCGGCACCGUGUCCGGUCCUCGAGCGUAUGGGGCUUUGUCACCCGCUCGAUUAGGGCCGGCCGGGCGCCAGCCGACGUCUCCAACCAUUUUCUUCAGGUUGACCUCGGAUCAGGUAGGGAUACCCGCUGAACUUAA